AUUGAACGCUGGCGGCAGGCUUAACACAUGCAAGUCGAGCGAGCGGCGGACGGGUGAGUAAUGUCUGGGAACCUGCCUGCUGGAGGGGGAUAACUACUGUCAACGGUCGCUAAUACCGCAUACCAUCAGAUGUGCCCAGAUGGGAUUAGCUAGUAGGUGGGGUAAUGGCUCACCUGGGCGACGAUCCCUAGCUGGUCUGAGAGGAUGCCCAGCCAAACUGGAACUGAGAAACGUUCCAGACUCCUACGGGAGGCAGCAGUGGGGAAUAUUGCACAAUGGGCACAAGCCUGAUGCAGCCAUGACGCGUGUGUGAAGAAGGCCUUCGGGUUGUAAAGCACUUUCAGCGAGGAGGCGUUACUCGCAGAAGAAGCACCGGCUAACUCCGGGCCAGCAGCCGCGGUAAUUC
rnacentral:rRNA from 1 species